CCUACGGGAGGCAGCAGUAGGGAAUAUUGCUCAAUGGGGGCAACCCUGAAGCAGCAACGCCGCGUGGAGGAUGAAGGUUUUCCGAUUUUAAACUCUUUUUGUUAGAGAAGUUAAUGACGGUAUCUAACGAAUAAUCACCGGCUAACUCCGUGCCAGCAGCCGCGGUAAUACGGAGGGUGCAAGCGUUACUCGGAAUCACUGGGCGUAAAGGGCGCGUAGAUGGGAUAGCAAGUCAGUUGUGAAAUUUUACGGCUUAACCAUAAAAUUGCAUUUGAUACUGUUAGCCUAGAGUAUGGUUGAGGUAGGUGGAAUUCGUGGUGUAGGGGUAAAAUGCGUAGAUAUCAAGAAGAAUACUGAUUGCGAAGGCAGCCUACUAAACUAUCACUGACACUGAUGCGCGAAAGUGUGGGUAGCAAACAGGAUUAGAUACCCCUGUAGUC
rnacentral:rRNA from 1 species